UACGUAGGGGCCUAGCGUUGUCCGGAAUUAUUGGGCGUAAAGAGCUCGUAGGCGGUUCGGCAAGUCGGAUGUGAAAUCUCCACGCUUAACGUGGAGGGGCCAUUCGAAACUGCUGUGACUCGAGUCCGGUAGGGGAGUGUGGAAUUCCCGGUGUAGCGGUGAAAUGCGCAGAUAUCGGGAGGAACACCAGUAGCGAAGGCGGGUCUCUGGACAGUUCCUGACGCUGAGGCACGAAGGUCAGGGGAGCAAACGGG
rnacentral:rRNA from 1 species